rnacentral:miRNA from 1 species
CACCUUUCACAAUCCUUCAUCU